GUGAAUCAUCGAAUUUUUGAACGCAAAUUGCACUCUUCGAUUUCGAAGAGUAUGCCUGUUUGAGGGUCGUCAAAAUAAAAAUCGAUUCGUUACUUUUGUAACAUUUCGGAAUUGAGUCAUCUUGCAUCUUUGAUUCAAGAGGCUUAAAAUUGAUCACCUUUGGUAUGAUUUGAGUGUACUUAAGAUUUCUUUAUCGCGCUCGAUGAAUAUCGGACAUUUUCAUUAGGAUGACCAUGAUUGAUCAUGGUUUCAUUCCUAUAAUCAUUUCAUGAUACGACCUCAAAUCAGGUAGGAAUACCCGCUGAACUUAAGCAUAUCAAUAAGCGGAGGA
rnacentral:sRNA from 1 species